rnacentral:rRNA from 1 species
UUUUUUCCUGUAGCAAUACAGGGAAACGUCUAGCGGCGAACGGGUGCUUAACACGUGGGCAAUCUGCCGAGAAGUGGGGGAUAGCUCGCCGAAAGGCGAAUUAAUACCGCAUGUGAUCAGAGUGGACAUCCAUUCAAAAUCAAAGUCGGGGCAACCUGACGCUUCUUGAGGAGCCCGCGGCCUAUCAGCUAGUUGGUGAGGUAACGGCCCACCAAGGCUUUGACGGGUAGCUGGUCUGAGAGGACGACCAGCCACACUGGGACUGAGACACGGCCCAGACACCUACGGGUGGCAGCAGUCGAGAAUUUUUCUCAAUGGGGGAAACCCUGAAGGAGCGACGCCGCGUGGAGGAUGAAGGUCUUCGGGUUGUAAACUCCUGUCAUUUGGGAACAAUGCGUAAAUAUUAACUGUAUUUGCGUUGAUAGUACCAGAAGAGGAAGAGACGGCUAACUCUGUGCCAGCAGCCGCGGUAAUACAGAGGUCUCAAGCGUUGUUCGGAUUCAUUGGGCGUAAAGGGUGCGUAGGCGGCGCGGUAAGUCGGGUGUGAAAUCUUGGAGCUUAACUCCGAAACUGCAUUCGAUACUGCCGUGCUUGAGGACUGGAGAGGAGACUGGAAUUUACGGUGUAGCGGUGAAAUGCGUAGAUAUCGUAAGGAAGACCAGUGGCGAAGGCGGGUCUCUGGACAGUUCCUGACGCUGAGGCACGAAGGCCAGGGGAGCAAACGGGAUUAGAUACCCCGGUAGUCCUGGCAGUAAACGGUGCACGUUUGGUGUGGGGAGGAUUCGACCCCUUCUGCG